UUACUAUAUUGAUGUGCUCUUUUGUUCCACCAAAAGCUUGACCGAAACUCUGAGAUUUUUCCAACAUAUUAUAGUUCCAGCAAUCCAAACUCAAUGCCGUGGUGUCACACUGACAGAAAACAUUAUCCGGUUAGAAUGUGUUAAAAAUCUUACUCAUCCAAGAUACAGAAAAACACAAGCCAUACCUAUACAACAAUUGAAGCAGGCAAUGCUCUCGGUCCCUGCAGAAAGUAUGUAUAAUUACCAGCACACCUGGGGCUCAGUCUCAGAUUCAGGGAGAACUGUUUUAAGAGAAUC
rnacentral:lncRNA from 1 species